GUUCGGUGUGAGCCAAGGCUCCGUGUUGAAGGCCGUACGUUGACCUAUAAUAGUUUACUUUUUGAAAUUGUUAUUUGGAUGGAGAGUUGUCUCAUUGGCACUCACACAACAUCUUCCUAUAUCUAUUAACUCCGCCACAUGUAUGUCUGUGUGUAUGUGCAUGUCCCCAAGUCAGGAGCCUGUAAUUCAGUAGUUGUCGUUUGUUUAUGUGUUACAUGUUUGUUUUUUUGUACAAAAAAUAGGCCGUUAGUUUUCUUGUUCGAAUUAUUUUACAUUGUCAUUACGGGGCAUUUUUAAGCUGACUUUGCGGAACUGGCUUUGCUCAUUAUUGAAGGUCGUACGGUGACCAAUAGUUGUUAAUUUCUGUGUCAUUUGGUCUCUUGUGGAGAAUUAUCUACUUGGCAAUCAUACCAUAUCUCCUUUUUUUUUUGCUCAUUUAAACAACGGAAGGCAUUAUAUUUGUCAUUAUCUGUAUACAUAGCAUUUUUCUAUAAGAAGUUAAUACACGAGUUUCCAGUCCAUUUA
rnacentral:lncRNA from 1 species